GACGAACGCUGGCGGCGUGCUUAACACAUGCAAGUCGAACGGAAAGGCCCUGCUUUUGUGGGGUGCUCGAGUGGCGAACGAGUGAGUAACACGUGAGUAACCUGCCCUUGACUUUGGGAUAACUUCAGGAAACUGGGGCUAAUACCGGAUAGGAGCUCCUGCUGCAUGGUGGGGGUUGGAAAGUUUCGGCGGUUGGGGAUGGACUCGCGGCUUAUCAGCUUGUUGGUGGGGUAGUGGCUUACCAAGGCUUUGACGGGUAGCCGGCCUGAGAGGGUGACCGGCCACAUUGGGACUGAGAUACGGCCCAGACUCCUACGGGAGGCAGCAGUGGGGAAUAUUGCACAAUGGGCGGAAGCCUGAUGCAGCAACGCCGCGUGCGGGAUGACGGCCUUCGGGUUGUAAACCGCUUUCGCCUGUGACGAAGCGUGAGUGACGGUAAUGGGUAAAGAAGCACCGGCUAACUACGUGCCAGCAGCCGCGGUGAUACGUAGGGUGCGAGCGUUGUCCGGAUUUAUUGGGCGUAAGGGCUCGUAGGUGGUUGAUCGCGUCGGAAGUGUAAUCUUGGGGCUUAACCCUGAGCGUGCUUUCGAUACGGGUUGACUUGAGGAAGGUAGGGGAGAAUGGAAUUCCUGGUGGAGCGGUGGAAUGCGCAGAUAUCAGGAGGAGCACCAGUGGCGAAGGCGGUUCUCUGGGCCUUUCCUGACGCUGAGGAGCGAAAGCGUGGGGAGCGAACAGGCUUAGAUACCCUGGUAGUCCACGCUGUAAACGGUGGGUACUAGGUGUGGGGUCCAUUCCACGGGUUCCGUGCCGUAGCUAACGCUUUAAGUACCCCGCCUGGGGAGUACGGCCGCAAGGCUAAAACUCAAAGGAAUUGACGGGGCCCCGCACAAGCGGCGGAGCAUGCGGAUUAAUUCGAUGCAACGCGUAGAACCUUACCUGGGUUUGACAUGGAUCGGGAGCGCUCAGAGAUGGGUGUGCCUCCUUUGGGGUCGGUUCACAGGUGGUGCAUGGCUGUCGUCAGCUCGUGUCGUGAGAUGUUGGGUUAAGUCCCGCAACGAGCGCAACCCUUGUUCACUGUUGCCAGCACGUUAUGGUGGGGACUCAGUGGAGACCGCCGGGGUCAACUCGGAGGAAGGUGGGGAUGACGUCAAGUCAUCAUGCCCCUUAUGUCCAGGGCUUCACGCAUGCUACAAUGGCUGGUACAGAGAGUGGCGAGCCUGUGAGGGUGAGCGAAUCUCGGAAAGCCGGUCUCAGUUCGGAUUGGGGUCUGCAGCUCGACCUCAUGAAGUCGGAGUCGCUAGUAAUCGCAGAUCAGCAACGCUGCGGUGAAUACGUUCCCGGG
rnacentral:rRNA from 1 species